rnacentral:rRNA from 1 species
UUAGCGGCGGACGGGUGAGUAACACGUGGAUAACCUACCUAUAAGACUGGGAUAACUUCGGGAAACCGGAGCUAAUACCGGAUAAUAUUUCGAACCGCAUGGUUCGAUAGUGAAAGAUGGUUUUGCUAUCACUUAUAGAUGGACCCGCGCCGUAUUAGCUAGUUGGUAAGGUAACGGCUUACCAAGGCGACGAUACGUAGCCGACCUGAGAGGGUGAUCGGCCACACUGGAACUGAGACACGGUCCAG